UACGAGUGCCUCAAGCGUUAUCCGGAAUCAUUGGGCGUAAAGGAUGUGUAGGUGGUCUUGUUAGUCUCGCGUUAAGUUCUUCGGCUUAACCGGGGGCAUGCGCGGGAAACGGCAGGAUUUGAGGAUGCAAGGGGUCACUGGAACUCUCGGUGUAGCGGUGAAAUGCGUUGAUAUCGAGGGGAACACCAAAAGCGAAGGCAAGUGACUGGGGCACUCCUGACACUGAAACAUGAAAGCGUGGGUAGCGAAUGGG
rnacentral:rRNA from 1 species